AUAGCUGGUUCUCCCCGAAAUAGCUUUAGGGCUAGCCUCAAGGUGAGAGAUACGGAGGUAGAGCACUGAAUGUCCUAGGGGGUAUUGCACCUACCGAAGACUAUCAAACUCCGAAUGCCGUCAUCUUAUACUUGGGAGUCAGACUGUGGGUGAUAAGAUUCAUAGUCGAAAGGGCAACAGCCCAGAUCGUCAGCUAAGGUCCCUAAAUGUAAGUUAAGUGGUAAAGGAUGUGGGAUUGCACAGACAACCAGGAUGUUGGCUUAGAAGCAGCCACUCAUUCAAAGAGUGCGUAAUAGCUCACUGGUCGAGUGAUCCUGCGCCGAAGAUUUCCGGGGCUAAAACUUACUACCGAAGCUACGGCAUCAGUAAUGAUGGGUAGGGGAGCUUCCCAUACGGGUUGAAGCAUGACCGUAAGGACAUGUGGACAGUAUGGGAGUGAGAAUGUUGGCAUGAGUAGCGAGAUGUGGGUGAGAAUCCCACAGGCCGUAAACCCAAGGUUUCCAGGGGAAGGUUCGUCCGCCCUGGGUUAGUCGGGACCUAAGCUGAGGCCGAAAGGCGUAGGUGAUGGACAACAGGUUGAUAUUCCUGUACUACCGAUAACCGUUUGAGAGAUGGGAUGACACAGUAGGAUAAGCUAAGCACACUGUUGGUUAUGUGUGCCCAAGCAUUGAGGCAGUCAGAGUAGGUAAAUCCGCUUUGACAAUGCUGGGAUGUGAUGGGGAGCGAAAUUUAGUAGCGAAGUAGCUGAUUUCACACUGUCAAGAAAAGUCUCUAUCGAGGUUAAAGGUACCCGUACCGCAAACCGACACAGGUGGGUGAGGAGAGUAUCCUAAGGCCCGCGAGAGAACUGUUGUUAAGGAACUCGGCAAAAUGACCCCGUAACUUAGGGAUAAGGGGUGCCACCAUACGGUGGCCGCAGAGAAUAGGCCCAAGCGACUGUUUACCAAAAACAUAGGUUUCUGCUAAGUCGCAAGACGAUGUAUAGGAGCUGACGCCUGCCCGGUGCUGGAAGGUUAAGGGGAUCUGUUAGAGCAAUCGAAGCAGUGAACUUAAGCCCCAGUAAACGGCGGCCGUAACUAUAACGGUCCUAAGGUAGCGAAAUUCCUUGUCGGGUAAGUUCCGACCCGCACGAAAGGCGUAACGAUUUGGGCACUGUCUCAACAACAGACUCGGUGAAAUUGUAAUUCCGGUGAAGAUGCCGGAUACCUGCGACAGGACGGAAAGACCCCAUGGAGCUUUACUGUAGCUUGACAUUGGGUCUUGGUACUACAUGUACAGGAUAGGUGGGAGGCUUUGAAACCAGGACGCCAGUUUUGGCGGAGCCAUCCUUGGGAUACCACCCUUGUAGUACUGGGACUCUAACCAUAGGCCAUGAAUCUGGUCUUGGGACACUGUCAGGUGGGCAGUUUGACUGGGGCGGUCGCCUCCCAAAAGGUAACGGAGGCGCUCAAAGGUUCUCUCAGUACGGUCGGAAAUCGUACGUAGAGUGUAAAGGCAAAAGAGAGCUUGAUUGCAAGACAUACAGGUCGAGCAAGGAUGAAAAUCGGACUUAGUGAUCCGGUGGUUCUGCGUGGAAGGGCCAUCGCUCAACGGAUAAAAGCUACCCUGGGGAUAACAGGCUUAUCUCCCCCAAGAGUCCACAUCGACGGGGAGGUUUGGCACCUCGAUGUCGGCUCAUCACAUCCUGGGGCUGUAGUAGGUCCCAAGGGUUGGGCUGUUCGCCCAUUAAAGUGGUACGCGAGCUGGGUUCAGAACGUCGUG
rnacentral:rRNA from 1 species